CCGGGCUUCCUCCACCCGGGUGGACCGAUUACUGCGCUCUCUGGGUCCCCGCAGGCACCGCAGUCACCCCCAACUAUGUGGACAACGGGAGCGCGCGCGUGGCGCCCUGGUGCGACUGCGGAGCCAGCGGAAAUCGACGGGAGGAGUGCGAAGCCUUCCGGGAGCUCUUUACCGGGAACCGCUGCUUGGAUGGCGCUAUACAGACCUUUGACAGCUGGCAACCCCCAGUCCUGCGGGCCCAUCCAGACUCCAGCCAGGACCUUGAGCACAGCCUCCUGCAGGUGUCUGCCACAGAUGGGCCCCUGAAGGGGUGCUCCCUGCUCUCCAUCUCCCUGUCGGCUCUCCAGACUCUGCUAUGACUAGAACAGCAGACCUUGAACAGCACAGCCACCUAUCCCACCCUGCCCGGGGUACACGGCCACCUCUGUGGCCUACUGCCCCACUGAAAAGGGACUGGUUUACCUCCCCCCCCCUCCCUGACCCCCAAGCUAGCCCCAGUGGCUCUUGCUCUGCUGCCCUCUGCAGGUCUGGACAUCCUGUGUGCUUGUCCCCUGGAGUGAGGCAUAUAGGCUACAGGCCUAAUUAUGAAGCUCAUGGUUUCCCUUUCAGUUGGUUUCUUGGUUGUAGGUCUCUUUCUCCACAGACCUUGGAACAGUUGGAGUUUCCCAAAGGUUAGGCAUGAGAGGGGGUCACCUGUGUAGCUGAGGCCUCACCAGGCCCGAAGAUAACCUAGAGAAGGUGAGAGACCAACCAAACUCCAAGAAUUAUAGGAGAUUUUAUCAGCCCCCCACCCAAGCAGAUUAUACCUUAAAGAGUAAUCUGAACAGAUUUAUAGGCAAAACCCCCGCUAACACUGCAGCCUUUCAUGGCCCCUUCCCAGUUAUGUGCCACCCGUGAUGAUAAUCACCUGCGUCCUAUGACAAACGUCCCAUGGCAGAGUGGUAUGUUGCUUGGUGGGUACCACCUUGAGUAGGUGGGAACCCGGUUCCCUGCAUUGUACUGGCCAGGUAGCCACCGACCCCAUGGUUUAACCCAGCACUGGGAAUGGUAUCCACAGCUCAAUAAAUCCAUGUACACUGA